CUGAGCUUGGAAGGAAGAGGAAAGAGCUGCAGAGGCGGAGACUCUGACCCCAAAGCGAUCGAGGGCCCUCCCCUGGCUUCCGUGUCCCUGUGGCAGGCGGUGGUGGUCGAAAUCUCUGCCCCUCAGAGUCCUGGGGAGGAUGGAUGGAACAGGAGGAGCAUCAUGAGAAGGCUUCCUGUAAACUACGGAGGGUGCUCGUGGAAGCCAGCAGAGGGUGUAGGGUCUCCUGGAGCCACAUCUCUGGAGUUACAUGAAGUUGUGGACCUCUCAACAUGGGUUCUGGGAACUGAACCCAGGUCCUCUGGAAGGACAUCGAGUGCUCUUAACCACUGAGCCAUCUCUGCAGCCUAACCCCAUCCCUUGGAGGCUGAAGCAAAGCAAGUUCAAUGACCGUGCGACCUGGCUCUUGUUUGGGCCUAAGGAAAAGCCGACUGUAAGCCGGGAAGCAUCUCUGGCAAGAACAAGGAAGGAUUAAGCACGUCU
ensembl:lincRNA Bvht braveheart long non-coding RNA